UGAGAUUUAAAGAGCCGCAGUAUCCUGACUGUGCUAAGGUAGCAUAAUCAUUAGUCUUUUAAUUGGAGACUGGUAUGAAUGGUUAAACGAGAAAUCAACUUUUUUUGUUGUAAAGCUUGAAUUUAACUUUUUAGUGAAAAGGCUAAAAUUUUUCAAAAAGACGAGAAGACCCUAUAGAGUUUUAUAAUCAAGGGAAUAUUUCUUUCUUAGAUUUUUAUGAGAGGUAUUUACUGUAGUUAUUUUGUUGGGGCGACAUUUAGAUAUAAGAAACUCUUUAUUUUUAAAACUUUUAUGAAAGGUAAAUUGAUCCUUUAAAAAAGAUCAUAAGAAAAAAUUACCUUAGGGAUAACAGCGUAAUCUUUUUUGAGAGUUCUAAUCGACAAAAAGGUUUGCGACCUCGAUGUUGGACUAAAAUUAAGGCAGGGUGCAGCAGUUCUGCUAUAAGGUCUGUUCGACCUAUAAUUUUUUACACGAUCUGAGUUCAGACCGGCGUAAGCCAGGUUG
rnacentral:rRNA from 1 species